GGGGGCGAUCGGCUUCGACGGAUUGAUAGAAGGCAUCGUCGCGUGCUCAGGUCCGAGGUCCUGAUAAAACCACUCGGAAAAAACACAAUUGCCAACACUGAUCUGGCGAUGGCUGCGUAAGCUGAGCUCCUAGGAGUUCGCUUCAUGCACCUCCUGGGUCCGAAGCCCGUCCGGGGCGUCGGCUUGGGAAUCAUCAAUCCGGACUAGCGACCGAUGGUCCUCCGACAUCGGAAGUGUGUUACACAGGAGGUCAACGUCGGGAAGGCUGGCACUGCGCCGGCCCGACGCCAAGUGUGAAGCAGAGCCUACGCACGUAGAAGCGGUCCCGGAAGUUGGUUCGGACCAGGGUUCGAUUCCCUGCGCCUCCAUCA
rnacentral:tmRNA from 1 species